rnacentral:rRNA from 1 species
UACGUAGGGGGCAAGCGUUGUCCGGAAUCAUUGGGCGUAAAGAGCGUGUAGGCGGCCCGAUAAGUCCGCUGUGAAAGUCCAGGGCUCAACCCUGGGAUGCCGGUGGAUACUGUCGGGCUCGAGUCCGGAAGAGGAGUGUGGAAUUCCUGGUGUAGCGGUGAAAUGCGCAGAUAUCAGGAGGAACACCAAUGGCGAAGGCGGCUCACUGGUCCGGUACUGACGCUGAGGUGCGAAAGCGUGGGGAGCAAACAGG